CGAAUAAAGCUGUGAGGAAACUACAUUAAAGGAACUCGACUGGCCUACA
rnacentral:sRNA from 1 species